rnacentral:rRNA from 1 species
GAUGAACGCUGGCGGCGUGCCUAAUACAUGCAAGUCGAGCGAACGGACGAGAAGCUUGCUUUUCUGAUGUUAGCGGCGGACGGGUGAGUAACACGUGGAUAACCUACCUAUAAGACUGGGAUAACUUCGGGAAACCGGAGCUAAUACCGGAUAAUAUUUUGAACCGCAUGGUUCAAAAGUGAAAGACGGUCUUGCUGUCACUUAUAGAUGGAUCCGCGCUGCAUUAGCUAGUUGGUAAGGUAACGGCUUACCAAGGCAACGAUGCAUAGCCGACCUGAGAGGGUGAUCGGCCACACUGGAACUGAGACACGGUCCAGACUCCUACGGGAGGCAGCAGUAGGGAAUCUUCCGCAAUGGGCGAAAGCCUGACGGAGCAACGCCGCGUGAGUGAUGAAGGUCUUCGGAUCGUAAAACUCUGUUAUUAGGGAAGAACAUAUGUGUAAGUAACUGUGCACAUCUUGACGGUACCUAAUCAGAAAGCCACGGCUAACUACGUGCCAGCAGCCGCGGUAAUACGUAGGUGGCAAGCGUUAUCCGGAAUUAUUGGGCGUAAAGCGCGCGUAGGCGGUUUUUUAAGUCUGAUGUGAAAGCCCACGGCUCAACCGUGGAGGGUCAUUGGAAACUGGAAAACUUGAGUGCAGAAGAGGAAAGUGGAAUUCCAUGUGUAGCGGUGAAAUGCGCAGAGAUAUGGAGGAACACCAGUGGCAAAGGCGACUUUCUGGUCUGUAACUGACGCUGAUGUGCGAAAGCGUGGGGAUCAAACAGGAUUAGAUACCCUGGUAGUCCACGCCGUAAACGAUGAGUGCUAAGUGUUAGGGGGUUUCCGCCCCUUAGUGCUGCAGCUAACGCAUUAAGCACUCCGCCUGGGGAGUACGACCGCAAGGUUGAAACUCAAAGGAAUUGACGGGGACCCGCACAAGCGGUGGAGCAUGUGGUUUAAUUCGAAGCAACGCGAAGAACCUUACCAAAUCUUGACAUCCUUUGACAACUCUAGAGAUAGAGCCUUCCCCUUCGGGGGACAAAGUGACAGGUGGUGCAUGGUUGUCGUCAGCUCGUGUCGUGAGAUGUUGGGUUAAGUCCCGCAACGAGCGCAACCCUUAAGCUUAGUUGCCAUCAUUAAGUUGGGCACUCUAAGUUGACUGCCGGUGACAAACCGGAGGAAGGUGGGGAUGACGUCAAAUCAUCAUGCCCCUUAUGAUUUGGGCUACACACGUGCUACAAUGGACAAUACAAAGGGCAGCGAAACCGCGAGGUCAAGCAAAUCCCAUAAAGUUGUUCUCAGUUCGGAUUGUAGUCUGCAACUCGACUACAUGAAGCUGGAAUCGCUAGUAAUCGUAGAUCAGCAUGCUACGGUGAAUACGUUCCCGGGUCU